UACGGGGGGAGCAAGCGUUGUUCGGAUUUACUGGGCGUAAAGGGCGCGUAGGCGGCACCGCAAGUCGACUGUGAAAUCUCCGGGCUUAACUCGGAAAGGUCAGCCGAUACUGCGGGGCUAGAGUGCAGAAGGGGCAACUGGAAUUCUCGGUGUAGCGGUGAAAUGCGUAGAUAUCCGGAAGAACACCGAUGGCGAAGGCAACCACCUGGGCCUGCAUUGACGCUGAGGUACGAAAGCGUGGGGAGCAAACAGG
rnacentral:rRNA from 1 species